rnacentral:rRNA from 1 species
UACGUAGGGGGCAAGCGUUGUCCGGAAUCAUUGGGCGUAAAGCGCGUGUAGGCGGCUCGGUAAGUCUGCUGUGAAAGUCCAGGGCUCAACCCUGGGAUGCCGGUGGAUACUGUCGAGCUCGAGUCCGGAAGAGGCGAGUGGAAUUCCUGGUGUAGCGGUGAAAUGCGCAGAUAGCAGGAGGAACACCGAUGGCGAAGGCAGCUCGCUGGGACGUGACUGACGCUGAGACGCGAAAGCGUGGGGAGCAAACAGG